rnacentral:rRNA from 1 species
GAUGAACGCUGGCGGCGUGCCUAAUACAUGCAAGUCGAGCGAACAGACGAGGAGCUUGCUCCUCUGACGUUAGCGGCGGACGGGUGAGUAACACGUGGAUAACCUACCUAUAAGACUGGGAUAACUUCGGGAAACCGGAGCUAAUACCGGAUAAUAUAUUGAACCGCAUGGUUCAAUAGUGAAAUACGGUUUUGCUGUCACUUAUAGAUGGAUCCGCGCCGCAUUAGCUAGUUGGUAAGGUAACGGCUUACCAAGGCAACGAUGCGUAGCCGACCUGAGAGGGUGAUCGGCCCCACUGGAGCUGAGACACGGUCCAGACUCCUACGGGAGGCAGAAGUAGGGAAUCUUCCGAAAUGGGCGAAAGCCUGACGGAGCAACGCCGCGUGAGUGAUGAAGGUCUGCGGAUCGUAAAACGCUGUUAUUAGGGAAGAACAAAUGUGUAAGUAACUAUGCACGUCUUGACGGUACCUAAUCAGAAAGCCACGGCUAACUACGU